rfam:Schistosoma rodhaini strain Burundi genome assembly, scaffold: SROB_scaffold0001565
AUUCAGCCGACGAGUCCCAAAUAUGAGGAAACGAGCGUCCUGAAU